AAAAGUUUCAUGAUCAUAAACCAUUAAUGUAUGCAAUGAAAUAUAAUCUAAAAAUUAUUUUUAAAAUCUAAAAAUUAUGUUAAUUGCAUGUGGGUAUGGGUUGAAUAAAUUAGGUCUAGUAAUCAAACUACAAUUAGAAUCAAUUGAUUAGAUCAGAUUACAAUCCUUUUCGAUUUUAAGCAAAUGAUCGAACCUAAUCAAUGAUUGGUUAGGAUUUGGUUAAAAAAACUCGAAAUUGAGUUUAGUUGUAGUUGGUUGCAUCGAUUCAUAUUUUGAUGUGAAUUGAUUGACUCAAGAUUGAAUUUGACUUAGUGGUCUAAGUCUGACUCACUAGACUAGUCUGUUCGAUUCUAAUUGAUCAAUUACUGUCUAAGAUAAGUUAAUAGUUCGAUCGGUGAUUUUUAGUUAGAAGCAUGCUUACCUGGCCAUUUUGAUAGUGUCUAAGAUAAGCAUCGACAUAUCCUCCCAUCAAUCUCAUUUAUCUGACCAAUUUGAUCAAUUAUGGAUUGAAUAAGGUUGCUUGAUCAUUCGUGUUCACCCAUACUGAUCAGGUUAGUCAGAUAUAAGAUUGUGCUAAUCUGAACAUGAUCAAUCAGACAUCAAAUAUGUUGAUUUAGAUGAGAUUAAAUCAAAAUCUUCUCACUAAAUAUUAAGUCUAGCAAUCUUCCACCAUUGUAGAGAUAUGGAUACUUUCCUGACAUUGAUCAUUCUCGACUAAUUAUAGUGGUUUGGUUGCAUCAGAAAGAUACAAUCACUCUAUUGAUAUAAGAUACCCCAGGAUAAAGAUGGGGUCAAUCCAAUAACUGUUAGGUGAGGGACCCAAUGAUGGCUUUACGUCCACUGAUGAAUGACAGAUCAGACUUAACUAAAAAAUGUGUCAAUAACUAUUAGGUGAGGCCAUAGGACUUAGAGACCAAAUCCAUUGCAUCUUGCUUAAUGAAGCAAUGGAUAAAUUAUUGUCCACUCAUUAGGCUGUGCUCAUCAAUAACUAUUAGGUGAGGUGUGUAUGGAUCAGUAGGACCACGAUACCCACUAGAAAUCGAUUGCGUAUAGAUUUUUGUUUCUCUAUUCGAAGAGUAUGGGAGAUUCGAGAAAAUAGUAGAAGUAUUGUUUAUUUUUAAAAUCUCUAAAAUAAAUAUUUAACAAGUACAAACAUCCAAAUAGAAAUCAUUCUCUUUGCAGAUAACCAUAUCGAGUUUCAAUCUAUUAGUUUGAAUCCUUAACACCAAUAGGUUGAUCGGGACAAACUACAAAGAUUGAUUCUGAAACUUGAGAAUUAUUCUCAAUUUUGAAAAGUUGACCUAUGUAUUAGAUCAGGAUGCACC
rnacentral:lncRNA from 1 species